rnacentral:rRNA from 1 species
GGCGGCGUGCCUAAUACAUGCAAGUCGAGCGCGGAAGUCAGGAAGCCUUCGGGUGGAACUGGUGGAACGAGCGGCGGAUGGGUGAGUAACACGUAGGUAACCUGCCCUAAAGCGGGGGAUACCAUCUGGAAACAGGUGCUAAUACCGCAUAAUCCCAGCGGUCACAUGAGUGCUGGUUGAAAGACGGCUUCGGCUGUCACUUUUAGGAUGGACCUGCGGCGUAUUAGCUAGUUGGUGGAGUAACGGUUCACCAAGGCAAUGAUACGUAGCCGACCUGAGAGGGUGAUCGGCCACAUUGGGACUGAGACACGGCCCAAACUCCUACGGGAGGCAGCAGUAGGGAAUCUUCCACAAUGGACGCAAGUCUGAUGGAGCAGCGCCGCGUGGAUGAAGAAGGUCUUCGGAUCGUAAAAUCCUGUUGUUGAAGAAGAACCGGUUGUGAGAGUUAACUGCUCAUAACGUGACGGUUAAUCAACCAGAAAGUCACGGCUAACUACCGUG